rnacentral:rRNA from 1 species
GACGAACGCUGGCGGCGUGCUUAACCCAUGCAAGUCGAACGGAAAGGCCCUGCUUUUGUGGGGUGCUCGAGUGGCGAACGGGUGAGUAACACGUGAGUAACCUGCCCUUGACUUUGGGAUAACUUCAGGAAACUGGGGCUAAUACCGGAUAGGAGCUCCUGCUGCAUGGUGGGGGUUGGAAAGUUUCGGCGGUUGGGGAUGGACUCGCGGCUUAUCAGCUUGUUGGUGGGGUAGUGGCUUACCAAGGCUUUGACGGGUAGCCGGCCUGAGAGGGUGACCGGCCACAGUGGGACUGAGAUACGGCCCAGACUCCUGCGGGAGGCAACAGUGGGGACUAUUGCACAAUGGGCGGAAGCAUGAUGCAGCACCGCCGCGUGCGGGAUGACGGCAUUCGGGUUGUAAACCGCUUUCGCCUGUGACGAAGCGUGAGUGACGGUAAUGGGUAAAGAAGCACCGGCUAACUACGU